CGCUGUCGGCAGGCCUAACACAUGCAAGUCGAACGGUAACAGGAAGCAGCUUGCUGCUUUGCUGACGAGUGGCGGACGGGUGAGUAAUGUCUGGGAAACUGCCUGAUGGAGGGGGAUAACUACUGGAAACGGUAGCUAAUACCGCAUAACGUCGCAAGACCAAAGAGGGGGACCUUCGGGCCUCUUGCCAUCGGAUGUGCCCAGAUGGGAUUAGCUAGUAGGUGGGGUAACGGCUCACCUAGGCGACGAUCCCUAGCUGGUCUGAGAGGAUGACCAGCCACACUGGAACUGAGACACGGUCCAGACUCCUACGGGAGGCAGCAGUGGGGAAUAUUGCACAAUGGGCGCAAGCCUGAUGCAGCCAUGCCGCGUGUAUGAAGAAGGCCUUCGGGUUGUAAAGUACUUUCAGCGGGGAGGAAGGCGAUAAGGUUAAUAACCUUGUCGAUUGACGUUACCCGCAGAAGAAGCACCGGCUAACUCCGUGCCAGCAGCCGCGGUAAUACGGAGGGUGCAAGCGUUAAUCGGAAUUACUGGGCGUAAAGCGCACGCAGGCGGUCUGUCAAGUCGGAUGUGAAAUCCCCGGGCUCAACCUGGGAACUGCAUUCGAAACUGGCAGGCUAGAGUCUUGUAGAGGGGGGUAGAAUUCCAGGUGUAGCGGUGAAAUGCGUAGAGAUCUGGAGGAAUACCGGUGGCGAAGGCGGCCCCCUGGACAAAGACUGACGCUCAGGUGCGAAAGCGUGGGGAGCAAACAGGAUUAGAUACCCUGGUAGUCCACGCCGUAAACGAUGUCGACUUGGAGGUUGUGCCCUUGAGGCGUGGCUUCCGGAGCUAACGCGUUAAGUCGACCGCCUGGGGAGUACGGCCGCAAGGUUAAAACUCAAAUGAAUUGACGGGGGCCCGCACAAGCGGUGGAGCAUGUGGUUUAAUUCGAUGCAACGCGAAGAACCUUACCUACUCUUGACAUCCAGAGAACUUAGCAGAGAUGCUUUGGUGCCUUCGGGAACUCUGAGACAGGUGCUGCAUGGCUGUCGUCAGCUCGUGUUGUGAAAUGUUGGGUUAAGUCCCGCAACGAGCGCAACCCUUAUCCUUUGUUGCCAGCGGUUAGGCCGGGAACUCAAAGGAGACUGCCAGUGAUAAACUGGAGGAAGGUGGGGAUGGCGUCAAGUCAUCAUGGCCCUUACGAGUAGGGCUACACACGUGCUACAAUGGCGCAUACAAAGAGAAGCGACCUCGCGAGAGCAAGCGGACCUCAUAAAGUGCGUCGUAGUCCGGAUUGGAGUCUGCAACUCGACUCCAUGAAGUCGGAAUCGCUAGUAAUCGUGGAUCAGAAUGCCACGGUGAAUACGUUCCCGGGCCUUGUACACACCGCCCGUCACACCAUGGGAGUGGGUUGCAAAAGAAGUAGGUAGCUUAACCUUCGGGAGGGCGCUUACCACUUUGUGAUUCAUGACUGGGGUGAA
rnacentral:rRNA from 1 species